rnacentral:misc_RNA from 1 species
GUAUAUCACUCAUUUCAAGGUGCGAAAGUUUGAUAACUUUACUCAAAAAGAAAAGAGUAGUACUCAAAGACAUUUAAAACUGACACAUGUGGGUAAGUACGUAACUCAACUUGUGAGGCAAAUGGGUUUCAGCUUAUCCGGUGUCUUAAAUUCAUUUCACGCUCCUUCCGCAAUCUAGAUUAUUACAAGUUGACAACAAAACACCAAACACUCCCUUACUCCUUUCCCCUUCUUCUCAUUUCUUCUUUCUCCUGAAUUAACAAAGCCCUUUUUCUCUUAAAACACUCGCAUAACUAUUCUACUAUCUCUCCAUCGCUUGUCUCUUUAAGCAUGGACCUCACCCUCGUACCAUACCAACACACUUCCCCAUCUCCCCCCCAUCACAAUGAUCAUGAUCAUGAUCACGAUAGCUCUCCCCAUCCCAUCAUAAUCCGCCCUACUCCCGACAACUUCCUCGUCAAAUACAAAGAAUGCAUGCGCAACCACGCUGCUUCCAUCGGCCGCCACGCCAAUGACGGCUGUGGCGAGUUCAUGCCUCGCGGUGAUGAUGGUACCCUCGACUGUCUCACCUGUGCAGCCUGUGGUUGUCACCGUAAUUUCCACAGGAGAGAAGGUGCUUCUUCUCUGCAAUUUGACCACCUCCACCACCAAGUUUUCUCGUACAAUGGGGUUUCUGGGAAGAAACACUUGAUGACUUCUUACUUUGAUGAUGGUGAUGAUAUCGAUGAUCAUGAUCGAAGAUCGGAAACGCCCGAGAAGGAGAAAGCGAACGUGGUGUCCUCCGGUGUAAGGGCGGCGGCCACUGCGGCGGGGGGAGGGAAGAGUAAAAGGUUUAGGACGAAGUUCACUCAGGAGCAGAAGGAUAGGAUGCUAGAUUUCGCGGAGAAGAUAGGGUGGAGGAUACAUAAGCAUGAUGACGUGGCGCUUAAUCACUUCUGUAAUGAGGUUGGUAUUACACGGAACGUUCUUAAGGUUUGGAUGCAUAACAAC